AUGCAGCCAAUUAAGUCUACUGUGCUCUCUGCCCCGUGGGGACCCCGAGUGUAAAGGUCGGACAGAAGCAGCUUCCUGGGGAGUGGAUGAAGCUUGUGGCUUGUAUGGGCUUGAAUAAGGGACGUUGGAGAGAGUC